CCUACGGGAGGCAGCAGUGAGGAAUAUUGGUCAAUGGCCGGAAGGCUGAACCAGCCAAGUCGCGUGAGGGAAGACGGCCCUACGGGUUGUAAACUGCUUUUUUCGGGGAGCAAAGCGAGUCACGUGUGACUCAUUGAGAGUACCCGAAGAAUAAGCAUCGGCUAACUCCGUGCCAGCAGCCGCGGUAAUACGGAGGCUGCGGGCGUUAUCCGGAUUGAUUGGGUUUAAAGGGUGCGCAGGCGGAUGCUGAAGUCAGCGGUAAAAGUUCGGGGCUCAACCAUGGACUGCAGUGGAAACUGCGUUACUUGAGUGCGCGAGAAGUAUGCGGAAUGCGUGGUGUAGCGGUGAAAUGCGUAGAUAUAACGAAGAACCCCGAUUGCGAAGGCAGCAUGCUGGCGCGGAACUGACGCUGAUGCACGAAAGCGUGGGUAUCGAACAGGAUUAGAUACCCGGGUAGUC
rnacentral:rRNA from 1 species